UAAUUUCUUCUUUCUCGAGAACCAUACUUUUCCAAAUUUCAGAAAUAUUUGUAAUUAAAAAAAAAAUUCCUUCCCCCAAGUUCCUAUUUUGAUUUCCAAGAAUUAGAUCUCUACUCUUCCUUGAUUUUCUUGUUUUCCUGAAGUUCUUGUUCCUCUCUCAAUUUUCUUGGAAACAAGACACAAUUAGAGUAUCAGACCAUGGGAACACAAUCUUGGGAAGAAAAGAUUUUUAUGGGUAUAGGAGAAAUUCUUGAUGGAAGAUUAAGAAGACAAUAAGAAGAAUUGGUGCAUAAAUUGGAAAAAAAUUUGACAAAUUGUUUCAACAGAAAUUAGAGAAGUUGAAGGAAACAAUUCAUGAGAUAGAAGAGCAGAUAACUAAUGCAGAUCAACUCCUUAGAACUCCUAAAAAGCCAACUAUGGAACAAGAUAACUCCAGAAGAUUUUAAUAAGAAUGACUGGGAAUCUGAGGUGAAGAAAGAACUCCAUCUUGACCGGGAGAGGGGCGAGAAAUUGAUUUCUAACCCAAUUCCUACAAUUCUAUUUGGAAUUCAUGGGGGCAUGGACAUCAAGCUCCCUGAUGAAAGUGUUGCAAUCUUAAAUGAUGAAGGGUGUUUUGUUGCUAAAUAUACAACUUCUAAAGAAGGUAUGACCAUCAGAGUUUUGCACAAUCAACAUCCUAUCCAAGUAAGAUAUGUUGG
rnacentral:misc_RNA from 1 species